CAAUUUAAUUGGUUUGUAGACUUUUUUAGGAAAUUUAAGUCAAGGUAAUAAUUCUUUGAUGACUUAGGGGACGAUAAGACCCUAGAAGCUUAAUACGUUGUCUAUCUUUUAAUGUUAGAGGGUAAAGUAUUUAACUGGGGCGGUGUGAGUAUUUAAACUAUUUUUGUUAUAAUUUGAUCCUUUAAAUAAAGAAAAAUUGGUUAAGUUACUCUAGGGAUAACAGUGCUAUAUUUUUGGAGAGAUCUUAUCGAUAAAAUUGUUUGCAACCUCGAUGUUGAAUUAGAAUAUCUAAAUGAAGCAUAAAGUAUGAAAGAGGGUUUGUUCAACCUUUAAAGUUCUACAU
rnacentral:rRNA from 1 species